rnacentral:misc_RNA from 1 species
CCGAGUUUACAACUCCCAAACCCCUGUGAACAUACCACUUGUUGCCCUCGGCGGAUCAGCCCCGCUCCCGGUUAAACGGGACGGCCCGCCAGAGAGACCCCUAAACUCUGUUUCUAUAUAUGUAACUUCUGAUAGUAAAACCAUAAAUAAAUCA